UACGUAGGGACCGAGCGUUGUCCGGAAUCAUUGGGCGUAAAGAGCGUGUAGGCGGCCUUUUAAGUCCUGCGUGAAAUCCUGCGGCUCAACCGCAGACGGUCGUGGGAAACUGGAAGGCUAGAGUGCGGGAGAGGAGACUGGAAUUCAUGGUGUAGCAGUGAAAUGCGUAGAGAUCAUGAGGAAGACCAGUGGCGAAGGCGGGUCUCUGGACAGUUCCUGACACUGAGGCACGAAGGCCAGGGGAGCAAACGGG
rnacentral:rRNA from 1 species